UUCCGGUUGAUCCUGCCGGAGGUUACUGCUAUCGGUGUUCGCCUAAGCCAUGCGAGUCAUAUGUUCUUCGUGAACAUGGCGUACUGCUCAGUAACACGUGGAUAACCUGCCCUUGGGUCUGGGAUAACCCCGGGAAACUGGGGAUAAUACCGGAUAACGCAUAUAUGCUGGAAUGCUUUAUGCGUAAAAUGGAUUCGUCUGCCCAAGGAUGGGUCUGCGGCCUAUCAGGUAGUAGUGGGUGUAAUGUACCUACUAGCCUACAACGGGUACGGGUUGUGAGAGCAAGAGCCCGGAGAUGGAUUCUGAGACAUGAAUCCAGGCCCUACGGGGCGCAGCAGGCGCGAAAACUUUACAAUGCGGGAAACCGUGAUAAGGGGACACCGAGUGCCAGCAUCAUAUGCUGGCUGUCCAGAUGUGUAAAAUACAUCUGUUAGCAAGGGCCGGGCAAGACCGGUGCCAGCCGCCGCGGUAACACCGGCGGCCCGAGUAGUGAUCGUGAUUAUUGGGUCUAAAGGGUCCGUAGCCGGUUUGGUCAGUCCUCCGGGAAAUCUGAUGGCUCAACCAUUAGGCUUUCGGGGGAUACUGCCAGGCUUGGAACCGGGAGAGGUAAGAGGUACUACAGGGGUAGGAGUGAAAUCUUGUAAUCCCUGUGAGACCACCUGUGGCGAAGGCGUCUUACCAGAACGGGUUCGACGGUGAGGGACGAAAGCUGGGGGCACGAACCGGAUUAGAUACCCGGGUAGUCCCAGCCGUAAACGAUGCUCGCUAGGUGUCAGGCAUGGCGCGACCGUGUCUGGUGCCGCAGGGAAGCCGU
rnacentral:rRNA from 1 species